UUUUGCAAUUGCAUAGGAACAACAAAUAGGUAAGCUAUAGCUAAAGACUGUAGGCCAGUUGUACGUGACCUGUCUCGAUAUACCUGUCUCGAGGCUACACUAUUAAAUAUUUCUGCUCAAUGUCUGCUUAAAGCAAAAGUCUGAAUAUAUGUAAACAAAAUGUUGAACUUUCAGUAUAUUUACAUCAGUCUCAAUUUUCGUUUAAUGAGUAACAGGUGUAUAUUAUUAACUAUUUUGAUAGUAAUGUUUUUAUUUCUGGCUUUCAAGUAACCACAGUGACUCCUUUCACCCUGGCUAAGAAGAAUGCACUACCCAAGAAGAAGGUGGAGGAAAUCCACAGGGCAGUCACCAAAUUUGUGGUGAUGGGGCUUCAUCCAUUUUCCACGGUGGAAUUACUAUCUUUUAGAUUUGCCAGAGCAUAAUGUUAUCCUUGAUGUGAGGACUUGCUGGAAUUCUCUGUACAUCAUGGUUGAGCGGUUUGUGGAGCAGUUCCCUGCAAUCCAGGCAGCUUGCCUCGAUCAAAGGCUGAGGAAGCCAAUGGAGAGGGACAGACUAGAGCGGCUCACUGACAGUGAUUUUGAGAAGGCAGAGGAAUUCAUGAAAUGCAUGAAAGUCCUGUACACCUCAACCCUCUGCGUGUCAAGUGACAAGUCCCUCACAUGCAGCCAAAUCAUCCCAAUCCUCACAAAGCUGGAGGCACGAUA